rnacentral:rRNA from 1 species
GACGAACGCUGGCGGCGUGCUUAACACAUGCAAGUCGAACGGUAAGGCCCUUCGGGGUACACGAGUGGCGAACGGGUGAGUAACACGUGGGUGAUCUGCCCUGCACUUCGGGAUAAGCCUGGGAAACUGGGUCUAAUACCGGAUAGGACCACUGCCUGCAUGGGUGGGGGUGGAAAGCUUUUGCGGUGUGGGAUGGGCCCGAGGCCUAUCAGCUUGUUGGUGGGGUGAUGGCCUACCAAGGCGACGACGGGUAGCCGGCCUGAGAGGGUGAACGGCCACACUGUGACUGAGAUGCGGCCCAGACUCCUACGGGAGGCAGCAGUGGGGAAUAUUGCACAAUGGGCGCAAGCCUGAUGCAGCGACGCCGCGUGAGGGAUGACGGCCUUCGGGUUGUAAACCUCUUUCAGCACCGACGAAGCGCAAGUGACGGUAGGUGCAGAAGAAGGACCGGCCAACUACGUGCCAGCCGCCGCGGUAA